rnacentral:misc_RNA from 1 species
GAUGAAGAACGUAGCGAAAUGCGAUAAGUAAUGUGAAUUGCAGAAUUCAGUGAAUCAUCGAAUCUUUGAACGCACAUUGCGCCCCCUGGUAUUCCGGGGGGCAUGCCUGUUCGAGCGUCAUUUCACCACUCAAGCCUCGCUUGGUAUUGGGCAACGCGGUCCGCCGCGUGCCUCAAAUCGACCGGCUGGGUCUUCUGUCCCCUAAGCGUUGUGGAAACUAUUCGCUAAAGGGUGUUCGGGAGGCUACGCUGUAAAACAACCCCAUUUCUAAGGUUGACCUCGGAUCAGGUAGGGAUACCCGCUGAACUUAAGCAUAUCAAUAAGCGGAGGA